UACGAAGGGGGCUAGCGUUGCUCGGAAUCACUGGGCGUAAAGCGCACGUAGGCGGAUUGCUAAGUCAGGGGUGAAAUCCUGGAGCUCAACUCCAGAACUGCCUUUGAUACUGGCGAUCUUGAGUCCGGGAGAGGUGAGUGGAACUGCGAGUGUAGAGGUGAAAUUCGUAGAUAUUCGGAAGAACACCAGUGGCGAAGGCGGCUCACUGGCCCGGUACUGACGCUGAGGUGCGAAAGCGUGGGGAGCAAACAGG
rnacentral:rRNA from 1 species